AGCUUUGCGCAGUGGCAGUAUCGUAGCCAAUGAGGUUUAUCCGAGGCGCGAUUAUUGCUAAUUGAAAACUUUUCCCAAAUACCGCUCCUAAACAUUCCCAAGGCAAAUCUCUGAAUUCUGCUAGGGAUUCUGAAGCAAGAGCAG